GGACCCGCACAAGUAGUGGAGCAUGUGGUUUAAUUCGAAGAUACGCGCAGAACCUUACCAGCCCUUGACAUGUGGAGUUUGGUUACCAGAGAUGGUUUCCUUCAGUUCGGCUGGCUCCAACACAGGUGCUGCAUGGCUGUCGUCAGCUCGUGUCGUGAGAUGUUGGGUUAAGUCCCGCAACGAGCGCAACCCUCAUCUUUAGUUGCCAUCAGUUCGGCUGGGCACUCUAGAGAAACUGCCUGGGAUGACCAGGAGGAAGGCGAGGAUGACGUCAAGUCCUCAUGGCCCUUAUGGGCUGGGCUACACACGUGCUACAAUGGCGGUGACAAAGGGAAGCAAUAGGGCAACCUGGAGCAAAUCCCUAAAAGCCGUCUCAGUUCGGAUUGUCGUCUGCAACUCGACGGCAUGAAGUCGGAAUCGCUAGUAAUCG
rnacentral:rRNA from 1 species